CCUACGGGAGGCAGCAGUGGGGAAUUUUGGACAAUGGGCGCAAGCCUGAUCCAGCAAUGCCGCGUGCAGGAUGAAGGCCUUCGGGUUGUAAACUGCUUUUGUACGGAACGAAAAGGUUCUUUCUAAUAAAGAGAGCCCAUGACGGUACCGUAAGAAUAAGCACCGGCUAACUACGUGCCAGCAGCCGCGGUAAUACGUAGGGUGCGAGCGUUAAUCGGAAUUACUGGGCGUAAAGCGUGCGCAGGCGGUUAUAUAAGACAGAUGUGAAAUCCCCGGGCUCAACCUGGGACCUGCAUUUGCGACUGUAUAGCUAGAGUACGGUAGAGGGGGAUGGAAUUCCGCGUGUAGCAGUGAAAUGCGUAGAUAUGCGGAGGAACACCGAUGGCGAAGGCAAUCCCCUGGACCUGUACUGACGCUCAUGCACGAAAGCGUGGGGAGCAAACAGGAUUAGAUACCCUGGUAGUCCACGCCCUAAACGAUGUCAACUGGUUGUUGGGUCUUCACUGACUCAGUAACGAAGCUAACGCGUGAAGUUGACCGCCUGGGGAGUACGGCCGCAAGGUUGAAACGUCAAAGGAAUUGACGG
rnacentral:rRNA from 1 species